AUUGAACGCUGGCGGCAUGCUUUACACAUGCAAGUCGAACGGUAACAGGCCUUCGGGUGCUGACGAGUGGCGAACGGGUGAGUAAUGCAUCGGAACGUACCCAGAGGUGGGGGAUAACGCAGCGAAAGCUGUGCUAAUACCGCAUGUGAUCUGAGGAUGAAAGCGGGGGACCGAGCAGCAAUGUUUGGCCUCGCGCCUUUGGAGCGGCCGAUGUCGGAUUAGCUAGUUGGUGGGGUAAAGGCCUACCAAGGCGACGAUCCGUAGCUGGUCUGAGAGGACGACCAGCCACACUGGGACUGAGAGACGGCCCAGACUCCUACGGGAGGCAGCAGUGGGGAAUGUUGGACAAUGGGCGCAAGCCUGAUCCAGCAAUGCCGCGUGCGGGAAGAAGGCCUUCGGGUUGUAAACCGCUUUUGGCAGGAACGAAACGGUGUCCGCUAAUACCGGGCGCUAAUGACGGUACCUGCAGAAUAAGCACCGGCUAACUACGUG
rnacentral:rRNA from 1 species